AGUUUUUUCCCUGUCAUUUAAUUUGUCAACGAUUAACCUUACAAAAGUUGCAUUCUCUAGAUUUUCGGCAUUAUUUUGUGCAUGAAAAGGAUUAUCACGUUCAUUUAGAGAACGCAAAUCAAAUAACAACUUUCCAAUUUGAGAUAAUAAUGGACCGAUCUCGUAGUAAAAGUUACCAGUCGGAAAAUUAUUAUCUAUUAAACAAUUUUUUAAAUUGCAUAAAAAAUACAUCUGUUCCUGAACAACUUGUCGCUGAUUGACUAUUUGAGAACUUAUCAAAGAUCGUUUCUCGUGUUCCUCUGCUUUGAAAUCAUUAGGUUUUAGGUUGUCAAAUACCACAAUUGGCGAAGUUUUUAGUUUGCGACAAUACCUUGAUAGUUUUAAGGCCCAUAAAACAUGUUGAUAAUUGGUGUGCAAUGGCGUAUUUGGAGACCGAAAAAAUCUGUAUAAUAAAAGAUUUCCAUCUACUGCUAGAACAGGAUAAUAUUUAGAAAAAAAUUCUGGUUGAAGCCAUCUUAUACCCUCAGACGCGACCUUUCUAAUGAUAGGUAGCAAACCAUGAACGCCCAUCAAUUACUUGAAAUAGAUUUUUCUUUUGUGAGUCGUAUAAUCAUAAGUGUAACAAAUAUGUAUUAGAAUGAACGUCUUUUUAGAAGUUAAGUCAUGGUUGAACUUAUGAUGCACAUAAAGAUGGAAAUGCAAACACUUUAGCACCCACAGCUUAUGGUACGUUCAAAUGACGCCAAUACCGUUUCUUCUUUAAUUGAAAGAGUUCGAAAACCAGAUUCUUCUGUAAUGUCUAAUGACAGCACAUAGAACAGUAUCUAGAAACUCCCAAACAUGAAGAGUUUAGUUACUUGUCUCAUUAACUUUUUGAUCUCUAUUCUCACAAAAAAAAAAACGAUAAAAAGUUAACAAAGCGUCAGAAAAAAACUACUUUAGCUAUUUUGUAUACAUAUAUCAAUCACCUAUUGGAUUUUAUCGACGAUUUAAAAAUUCGAUUUUUUUGAGUAACCCUAAACCCUCAAAAUUUUUUGUGUAUAUAAUCUCAAAACUUUUACUUUAUUCUAUAGGCAGCGCAUUAGGAUCUCGGCAGCAAACGUCAAGAGCCCAUUUUGGAAGCUGUGUCUUAUAAGACCAAUCUUUGCUCUCAUAUUUUAAAGCAUGUAACCAGAUUCCUAAUUCCUCUGGGGAUGGAUCACUAUAAAGUGGAGUACCGCACUCGGAACAGUGUUUACCAGUUAAUAGCUCCCCGAGGCGUUUGUCUCUACGGGCCUUGGCCUCUGCCUCUGUUUCAUUUGUAUACCACUCAUAUUGCAAGAGUGGAGAAGCAGUUUCAGUUUUACCGAUUUCGGAAAGUCGCAUAAUUACAGAUUCAUUGCUGCCUUCUCCAUUCUUCCCUAAAGAAGGACCCCAUACCCUUUUAUUCGCGUAUAUAGGAUCAUUAGCAAUAGGAUAACCAAGAUACUGUAGAUGAACCCGUAAUUGGUGAGUCCUUCCGGUCAGUGGUUUACAAAGCACGAGGGAUGUGUGUCCAUCAAACGCAAUUCUUUUGAAAACGGUGCUGGCCUCCUUUCCAUCCGGAUGGAUCCUAUUUAAACCUAAAGUAGGUGCAACAGUAAGUAACGGAGCAUCGCAAAUUACUUCACCAGAAUUGGGGAACUCUCCUAUUACUCUAGCAACAUAUUCUUUUUUCAGGCUUUUGCUAAUCAUAUGGACGCGCAUUUCUUCAGCGGCUUUAGGACUCUUACUAAAGAACAUCAGACCAGAAGUUAAUCUGUCUAAUCUAUUGCAAGGAUAUAACAGAGAACAUUUGUUUUCUUUCAUCAAAAUAUGUAAAACAGUAUUGUGAUUAUAGCGACCUGUAGGAUGCACUGGAACACCAGCAGGUUUGUCAAUAACAACAUAAGAUUCAUCUUCAUGGACUAUGCCUACUGGUUGGUCAGAAACUGGUGGUUCAUGACGAUGCGCAUGAUGGGAAACUAUGUAUCCAUUUUCAAUCAAUGUGUCAACGUUACCAAUCUGAUUGUUUACCUUAACUUGACCAUUGCGUAUUGCCUUUUCAUAAUAACCAGAUUCCCUGUCCCUAAAUUCGGUAUUGAAAACCUCUAAAAGAGUUUUACCGUACCACCUCAGCUUCGCGAAGGUAAUGUAUUCAUAAUAGUAGGGAGGGACUCGCCGUAGCCCGUCGCCUUUAAAAACGUAUUCACAAUCUUUCAAAGGAUCUCUUUUAGGUCUUUUUAACAUCCCCUUAGACCACAAGCGAAUGGUUGAGUUUAAUCCGCUAAUGGUGGAAGUGAAAAUCUAAGUCGCGGUUGGCAAAGGAGUGUAGUUGUCUUGGUAUUAUUCUCGUACUCACUCAACCUGUGGAUAACAAUACUUAUAGUGUUCAGCUACUCAAAAGUAUUUAUGGUAUUUAAAAAAUUUUUACUACAUGCUCUUUGUUGUUAAUAAGAAGACUUUCGAAAGUGAAUAAUAUAGGUGUCUAUUCAAGAAAAGUUCGAAAUCUUUGAAUUAACCAGCAUUACCUUAAUAAAAAGUGCGUAUAAAGCUUCAAACUUUUCAUAAUUCAAAAAUUCUUUCGAAUAACCUGUUCUCAAUUUGAAAUCUAUAAAUAGGAGAAGAAUGGAUAAAAAUAGGUAAAAAAAUAAACAAACCUAUUAGUCGAUGAUAUUUUAUACUGGGAACGGCUAUGAAUUCAUAGAAACCUUUUCGAGAAUACUUAGAAACUUAUCCCUUAUUUUUAUAGCCAGCUCAUGAGUUUGUUCGGUGUUCCCAUCAUCAAAAAUAGAGAGGGAAAACGAACAUGGACCAUCUGCUACUGUUAUAACAUUUAGUACAAAAGGUGCAGAAAGACUGGAACAAGGUUGUGCAAAUGCCAUAUUCUUGAUUUUUACCGACGAAUCGGCGGGAAAGCUAAAAUACCCCAAAUUAGAUAUUUCAGCCGUAUUUCCUCUAGUUUUUUCACAAGAUUUUAAAAGGUAGUCUUCAAUAUCAAUAUAACUUAGCAAUCCAAUUUGUUGAGACAUCUCCCUAGGAUUGCUAAGCGCUGCUUUUAAUCGAUGCGAAAACUCAGUUGCUAAAUCUACCAUGGUAUGUUUAUAGUCCUCCUGACGCUGACUUGGCUGAAAACCGUUUAGAUGAUGAACGUAAGAAAACACAUAGUUUCCCAUGGUUUGCUUGGCUACGGGCAAAAAACGGCGCGCAUUCACAUCAAUGAGCAUAUCUAGGUUAACUUUACCAUUUUUAGCAAUAGCAUAAUAUAUACUGAGCAUAAAGACAGAAUAAAAAAUCGAAGUGAAAGAAGCGUCUAUGUUUUUUGAGAGUUGCUUGAUGUUUUUAACAACAGCAUUAGAAAUUGAAAAGAAUAUUGUAUGCGAUGAAAAUGGACGCACUGGAGCAUGACCUUUAUAAGAAGGAGACCGAAAGCCCUUAGAGAACGGAAGUCCAGAGUUUGUCCAUAGUGCUUUCAUUAGACAAAACCAUGAAGGAUGAACAUCUAUUAGUUUUUCAAGAUUUUUAGGAAGUGGUAAUUCUGAUACUGGCACGGUUGAAGAUGAAAAAUUUGUUUUGGACAUUUGUAAUCCUUCCAAAACAUAUUUAUGAAACAAAGGGCCACUUCCUCCGUCGAAAAGGGAGUGAUCAUAUAUAAAAACUAAUUCGGACUUAUCAUUUAGUACAUAGACCAUCCAAAGAGGAAGUGUCUCAUCGUCAUAACAUAGCUUAAAAUUUUGAAGAGCGUUAUUGCAGAAGCUAUCAACUUUCUGAUCAUCAGCAUAUUUAACGACCUUAUCAAGGUCUAUUGUUUUCAACUUCUUUACAAUGGGAAUUUUGCUAUGACAAUUGUGGAUCCUAGCACCUAGCAUCGGUUGAUUGACAAUUGCAUGAUAUACUGCUGGAUAUAAAACUGUCGAAUCGAGCGAAAUAGAGUAAGUUGCAGAAACAAUUACUAUAGAAAACAUAUUUAAGACAUUCCUCUUGACGGAAUAAAUUUCCAACCGUCCUGUAGACAUUAGUAAGAAAAUGAUUAGAAAAUCGAAGAAAUGUUAAACAUAAUUACCA